UGGGGAAUAUUGCACAAUGGGCGAAAGCCUGAUGCAGCAACGCCGCGUGCGGGAUGACGGCCUUCGGGUUGUAAACCGCUUUCAGCAGGGACGAAGGUUUUCUGACGGUACCUGCAGAAGAAGCACCGGCUAACUACGUGCCAGCAGCCGCGGUGAUACGUAGGGUGCGAGCGUUGUCCGGAAUUAUUGGGCGUAAAGAGCUUGUAGGCGGUCCGUUGCGUCGGAAGUGAAAACUCAGGGCUUAACCCCUGAGCCUGCUUUCGAUACGGGCGGACUUGAGGGAUGUAGGGAGAACGGAAUUCCUGGUGGAGCGGUGGAAUGCGCAGAUAUCAGGAGGAACACCAGUGGCGAAGGCGGUUCUCUGGACAUUUCCUGACGCUGAGAAGCGAAAGCGUGGGGAGCAAAACAGGCUUAGAUACCCUGGUAGUCCACGCCGUAAACGGUGGGCACUAGGUGUGGGACCCAUUCCACGGGUUCCGUGCCGUAGCUAACGCAUUAAGUGG
rnacentral:rRNA from 1 species